GGGCUUGACAUCCCACGAACCUGCCCGAAAAGGUGGGGUGCCCGCAAGGGAGCGUGGAGACAGGUGGUGCAUGGCUGUCGUCAGCUCGUGUCGUGAGAUGUUGGGUUAAGUCCCGCAACGAGCGCAACCCUCACCCCUAGUUGCCACCGGGUUAAGCCGAGCACUCAAGGGGAACUGCCAGCGUCAAGCUGGAGGAAGGCGGGGAUGACGUCAAGUCAUCAUGCCCCUUACGCCCUGAGCUACACACGUGCUACAAUGGCCAGUACAAAGGGACGCGAGACUGCGAAGUGGAGCUAAUCCCAAAAAGCUGGUCUAAGUUCAGAUUGCAGUCUGCAACUCGACUGCAUGAAGGAGGAAUCGCUAGUAAUCGCGCAUCAGCACGACGCGGUGAAUACGUUCCCGGGCCUUGUACACACCGCCCGUCACACCACGAAAGCUGUCUGUACUCGAAGUCGCUGAG
rnacentral:rRNA from 1 species